CAGUAGCCGCGGUAAUGCGGAGGGGGCUAGCGUUGUUUGGAAUUACUGGGCGUAAAGCGCACGUAGGCGGCUUGGUAAGUUAGAGGUGAAAGCCUGGAGCUCAACUCCAGAAUUGCCUUUAAGACUGCCGAGCUAGCAGGUGAGAGAGGUAAGUGGAAUUCCGAGUGUAGAGGUGAAAUUCGUAGAUAUUCGGAAGAACACCAGUGGUGAAGGCGGCUUACUGGCUCAUACUGGACGCUGAGGCGCGAAAGCGUGGGGAGCAAACAGGAUUAGAUACCCCCGUAGUCCCUGUCUCUUAUAC
rnacentral:rRNA from 1 species